AGAGACUUCAUGAGUAAAGCCACAUGAGUUUCCUUUUUUGUCCAUCCAGAGGUAAGCACAGUUUAUGUAUGUUUGCUUAAGCAAGAUUAAAGUUGGUAACAAUUGAGAUUUAAUCUUGGUAUUUAAAGCAGCUCACUUUUUUUUUAAUGCAGAAAAUCUCUCAGCACUUAAAUUUAAAGUUACAGCUGGAAGUAAAACGAAUAAUUGCUCAUUAACUCUAUCUCUCUAUAGAGUAGUGACCAGGCCCAGUGAAAUUCAGUAACUUACCUAAUGCACAGCUGAUGUUUUAACACUUUGUCAUGAGGCUGGGUAAUUCAUCCAGUGCGCUUUUCUUGAUGACCUAAGACGGGAUAAAUUCCUCUCAGGUGUCAGGAAUGUUGUUUCUUUGAUGUAUUCAAAAUCUAGCCAUCUGCUUGAGUGAAAUUCUGUCAUCAUUAUCUGUCAGAGUGGAACGAAAGCAAACCCUUAAGCCUAGUGAUAGAGUUUUUGGAUGUUUGGCCCCUUCAUAUGUCAUGUGAUUCCCAGUGUGGGAGGUGAAGCCUGGUAGGAGGUGUUUGGGUCAUGGGAAAGCCUUCCUCAUGAAUGGCUGGGUGUCCUCCCAGUGGUAAUGAGUUACUUCAAGAUCUGGUUGUGAAAAAGACUCUUGGACCAGCUCUCUCUCUCUCUCUCUCUCUCUUUCCCCGCCUUUCUCCAGCCAUAUGACACACCAGCUCCCCCUUUGCCUUCUGCCAUGAGGAAAAGCUUCAUGAGGCCUUACCAGAAGCCAAGCAGACACUGGCACCAUGCUUCUAUAACCUGCAGAACAGCGAGUCAAGUACAGACGUCUUUAUAAAUUACCCAGCCUCAGGCAUCUCUUCUACUGAAUGCAGUUGUAUUCCAUACAUUUGCAUUAUAUGCACCUGCUACAUCCGACAUCUUGAAGAGAGAGUGCAAACAAAUAAUUGGAAGUCAAAGAAAAAAAUUGAACCAG
rnacentral:lncRNA from 1 species